CAGGGAGACAAAAGAUUUUGUUCCAGCAAAGAAUCAACCAUAAACUUCUACAGCAAACUGAAGUUUAAGACAAAAAUUGAGCCAAUAGACAGGAAGAGAAUAAAGUCAGACGGAUGAUGGAAAAAAAGUCAUGCUGAUGUUUGCCUCUGUGUAAAGUAUCAAGAGGUAAAGUAUCUUCCAUUGUAGGUAGAGCUGCGAAACAAGACAACAGUUCAGGAUCGA
rnacentral:lncRNA from 1 species